CGUUCCUCGCUGUUUAUUCCAGUAAUCUUUGUGUUUGAGUAGGGACCCUUAGAGUUUGAUCCUGGGUUCAGGAUGAACGCUAGCGGCAGGCCUAAUACAUGCAAGUCGGACGGGAUUGGAACCAGAGCUUGCUCUGAUUCCAUGAGAGUGGCGCACGGGUGCGUAACGCGUGAGCAACCUACCUCUAUCAGGGGGAUAGCCUCUCGAAAGAGAGAUUAACACCGCAUAAUAUAUAGAACUGGCAUCGGUUUUAUAUUAAAUAUUUAUAGGAUAGAGAUGGGCUCGCGUGACAUUAGCUAGUUGGUAGGGUAACGGCUUACCAAGGCGACGAUGUCUAGGGGCUCUGAGAGGAGAAUCCCCCACACUGGUACUGAGACACGGACCAGACUCCUACGGGAGGCAGCAGUAAGGAAUAUUGGUCAAUGGGCGGAAGCCUGAACCAGCCAUGCCGCGUGCAGGAUGACUGCCCUAUGGGUUGUAAACUGCUUUUGUCCAGGAAUAAACCUUUAUACGUGUAGGAAGCUGAAUGUACUGGAAGAAUAAGGAUCGGCUAACUCCGUGCCAGCAGCCGCGGUAAUACGGAGGAUCCGAGCGUUAUCCGGAUUUAUUGGGUUUAAAGGGUGCGUAGGCGGCCUAUUAAGUCAGGGGUGAAAUACGGUGGCUCAACCAUCGCAGUGCCUUUGAUACUGAUGGGCUUGAAUCCAUUUGAAGUGGGCGGAAUAAGACAAGUAGCGGUGAAAUGCAUAGAUAUGUCUUAGAACUCCGAUUGCGAAGGCAGCUCACUAAGCUGGUAUUGACGCUGAUGCACGAAAGCGUGGGGAUCGAACAGGAUUAGAUACCCUGGUAGUCCCACGCCCUAAACGAAUGAUAACCUCGAUGUUGGCCGAUAGACAUGCCCAGCGUCUCAGCGUAAAGCGUUAAAGCUAUCAAA
rnacentral:rRNA from 1 species